rnacentral:rRNA from 1 species
GACAGAGGGUGCAAACGUUGUUCGGAAUUACUGGGCGUAAAGCGUGUGUAGGCGGUCCACUAAGUCGGGUGUGAAAGCCCUGGGCUCAACCCAGGAAGUGCACUCGAAACUGGCGGGCUAGAGUAUCGGAGAGGUUGGUGGAAUUCUCGGUGUAGGAGGUGAAAUUCGUAGAUAUCGAGAGGAACAACCGGUGGCGAAGGCGGCCAACUGGACGAAUACUGACGCUGAGACACGAAAGCGUGGGGAGCAAACAGGAUAGAAACCCUAGUA